CUGGGAUGAGAGUGUUGAUGCCUACAUCAUUACUUGUUAUUCAUCUCUAAUUGCCCUGGAGAAGACGAUAGUGAGCUGCCUUCAGGAACUGCUGUGCUCCAUCUGGUGCAUGUCCUAUGCUCUGGACCUCACGGCCUACAACAUUUGGGUCUCAAGAAAAAAACAACACCUUUCACAUUGCUCAAAGACCAGAAAGUUGCUGAUGAGUUUCUUUUCCCCUCAAUGGGAUGAAACUUGAACAUGUUGUUACAAAUGUGUGAACCACUGCAACAAAUGACCAGGACAUGCAUUUCAUUGCCUAUAGGUACAAGGAAGAUAUGAAGAGAGAGUGGUGCAAAAGGACUAAUACUGAAUUGCUUUAAUAAAG